rnacentral:siRNA from 1 species
UGAAGUGUCUCGUGCCCAGCC